UACGAAGGGGGCUAGCGUUGCUCGGAAUUACUGGGCGUAAAGCGCACGUAGGCGGUCUGUCACGUCGGAUGUGAAAAUCAGGGCUUAACCCUGGACCUGCAUUCGAUACGGGCAGACUAGAGUUCGGUAGGGGAGACUGGAAUUCCUGGUGUAGCGGUGAAAUGCGCAGAUAUCAGGAGGACACCGGUGGCGAAGGCGGCUCACUGGACUGGUACUACGUGAGGCGCGAAAGCGUGGGGGAGCAA
rnacentral:rRNA from 1 species